GACGAACGCUGGCGGUGUGCUUCACACAUGCAAGUCGAACGAGGUAGCAAUACCUAGUGGCGGACGGGUGAGGAAUACAUGGGUAAUCUACCAUCGAGUGGGGAAUAACCAACCGAAAGGUUGGCUAAUACCGCGUACGCCUCCGAGUCUUCGGGUUCGGAGGGAAAGCUGCACUGUGAGUGUAGCGCUCUUUGAUGAGCUCAUGUCCUAUCAGCUUGUUGGUAGGGUAACGGCCUACCAAGGCUUUGACGGGUAGCUGGUCUGAGAGGACGAUCAGCCACACUGGCACUGAGACACGGUCCAGACUCCUACGGGAGGCAGCAGUGGGGAAUAUUGCGCAAUGGGCGAAAGCCUGACGCAGCCACGCCGCGUGAGCGAUGAAGGCCUUCGGUCGUAAGCUCUGUGGGGAGACGAGAAGCCGUGAGAGCGGGCCUUGACGGUAGUCUCCUUAGC
rnacentral:rRNA from 1 species